rnacentral:tRNA from 7 species
GGGUGAUUAGCUCAGCUGGUAGAGCGCCUGCCUUACAAGCAGGAUGUCGGCGGUUCGAACCCGUCAUCGCCCACCA